UUUGCACAUUCGGAUGCUGGAGGGAGUGACUUCAACCAGUUCAUCUUCUUGGAUGUACUCGAUGCAGUCAUCUAAACUAUAAUCCAAUGGGGUAUCCAAAACCACUGCAAAAGGCAAAUUUAUGGAGUUGGCAGUUGAGGAGCAUUCUAAGGGACCGAAGAAACUAAAGAAGAAGUAAAACUCAAAGCAGAACACUGAGAGAAAAGAAAAUUUAAGGUGACCGAGUUGUCCUUACCUGUUUGUUCUUUGUUGGAGCGUACAUUUGUUGCAGCUUUUUUCUUGCACACGUUAAGGGCUAAGUCCCCAGGGCGUUGAUGAAUUCCAACAAUUUGACUCUUGUAAACAUCUACGCCAGGACUGACAAACAUUUGCCCUCUCUCCUGUGAACUAGCAAGGGCAUAAGAAGAAGUUGUGC